GAAUGCUGACAUAAGUAACGAUAAAGCGGGUGAAAAGCCCGCUCGCCGGAAGACCAAGGGUUCCUGUCCAACGUUAAUCGGGGCAGGGUGAGUCGACCCCUAAGGCGAGGCCGAAAGGCGUAGUCGAUGGGAAACGGGUUAAUAUUCCCGUACUUGGUGUUACUGCGAAGGGGGGACGGAGAAGGCUAUGUUGGCCGGGCGACGGUUGUCCCGGUUUAAGCGUGUAGGUGUGUGUUCCAGGUAAAUCCGGUUCACUUUAACACUGAGGCGUGACGACGAGGCACUACGGUGCUGAAGCAACAAAUGCCCUGCUUCCAGGAAAAGCCUCUAAGCAUCAGGUAACAUCAAAUCGUACCCCAAACCGACACAGGUGGUCAGGUAGAGAAUACCAAGGCGCUUGAGAGAACUCGGGUGAAGGAACUAGGCAAAAUGGUGCCGUAACUUCGGGAGAAGGCACGCUGACACGUAGGUGAAGUGAUUUACUCAUGGAGCUGAAGUCAGUCGAAGAUACCAGCUGGCUGCAACUGUUUAUUAAAAACACAGCACUGUGCAAACACGAAAGUGGACGUAUACGGUGUGACGCCUGCCCGGUGCCGGAAGGUUAAUUGAUGGGGUCAGCGCAAGCGAAGCUCCUGAUCGAAGCCCCGGUAAACGGCGGCCGUAACUAUAACGGUCCUAAGGUAGCGAAAUUCCUUGUCGGGUAAGUUCCGACCUGCACGAAUGGCGUAAUGAUGGCCAGGCUGUCUCCACCCGAGACUCAGUGAAAUUGAACUCGCUGUGAAGAUGCAGUGUACCCGCGGCAAGACGGAAAGACCCCGUGAACCUUUACUAUAGCUUGACACUGAACAUUGAGCCUUGAUGUGUAGGAUAGGUGGGAGGCUUUGAAGUGUGGACGCCAGUCUGCAUGGAGCCGACCUUGAAAUACCACCCUUUAAUGUUUGAUGUUCUAACGUGGACCCGUUACCCGGGUUGCGGACAGUGUCUGGUGGGUAGUUUGACUGGGGCGGUCUCCUCCUAAAGAGUAACGGAGGAGCACGAAGGUUGGCUAAUCCUGGUCGGACAUCAGGAGGUUAGUGCAAUGGCAUAAGCCAGCUUGACUGCGAGCGUGACGGCGCGAGCAGGUGCGAAAGCAGGUCAUAGUGAUCCGGUGGUUCUGAAUGGAAGGGCCAUCGCUCAACGGAUAAAAGGUACUCCGGGGAUAACAGGCUGAUACCGCCCAAGAGUUCAUAUCGACGGCGGUGUUUGGCACCUCGAUGUCGGCUCAUCACAUCCUGGGGCUGAAGUAGGUCCCAAGGGUAUGGCUGUUCGCCAUUUAAAGUGGUACGCGAGCUGGGUUUAGAACGUCGUGAGACAGUUCGGUCCCUAUCUGCCGUGGGCGCUGGAGAACUGAGGGGGGCUGCUCCUAGUACGAGAGGACCGGAGUGGACGCAUCACUGGUGUUCGGGUUGUCAUGCCAAUGGCACUGCCCGGUAGCUAAAUGCGGAAGAGAUAAGUGCUGAAAGCAUCUAAGCACGAAACUUGCCCCGAGAUGAGUUCUCCCUGAGACUUAAAGUCUCCUGAA
rnacentral:rRNA from 1 species